GCGGGUGUGGCGGAACUGGCAGACGCGCUGGACUUAGGAUCCAGUGGGUAACCGUGGGGGUUCAAGUCCCUCCACCCGCACCA
rnacentral:tRNA from 1 species